rnacentral:rRNA from 1 species
UACGGAGGAUGCAAGCGUUAUUCGGAAUUACUGGGCGUAAAGCGCACGCAGGUGGUCAAUCAAGUCAGAUGUGAAAGACCGGAGCUUAACUUCAGAAAUGCAUUUGAAACUGGUUAGCUAGAGUCUUGUAGGGGGAGAUAGAAUUCCAAGUGUAGCGGUGAAAUGCGUAGAGAUGGGGAAGAAUACCGGUGGCGAAGGCGGCCCCCUGGGCAACAACUGACGCUCAGGUGCGAAAGCGUGGGGAGCAAACGGG